rnacentral:rRNA from 1 species
CCCGCCGGCGACCGGCGCACGGGUGAGUAACACGUAUGCAACCUGGCCGUGACAGAUGGAUAACCGGGAGAAAUCCCGCCUAAUACAACAUAAUGCCGGGAGGGGACAUCCCCUGCCGGCCAAAGGGGGCGACCCCGGUCACGGAUGGGCAUGCGGCGCAUUAGGUAGUUGGUGGGGCAACGGCCCACCAAGCCGACGAUGCGUAGGGGUUCUGAGAGGAAGGUCCCCCACAUUGGAACUGAGACACGGUCCAAACUCCUACGGGAGGCAGCAG